UGAGGAAUAUUGGGCAAUGCCCGCAAGGGUGACCCAGCAACGCCGCGUGGAGGAUGAAUGUCGUAAGAUUGUAAACUCCUGUUAGAGGGGAAGAAUAGUACCGGUUGGACCGGUAUAUGACUGUACCCUCAGAGAAAGCCCCGGCUAACUACGUGCCAGCAGCCGCGGUAAUACGUAGGGGGCAAGCGUUGUCCGGAUUUACUGGGUGUAAAGGGCGCGCAGGCGGGAUAAAAAGUCAGUGGUGAAAUCCUACAGCUUAACUGUAGAACUGCCUUUGAUACUUUUAUUCUUGAGUUCGGGAGAGAGAGACGGAAUUCCAGGUGUAGUGGUGAAAUACGUAGAUAUCUGGAAGAACACCAGUUGCGAAGGCGGUCUCUUGGUCCGACACUGACGCUGAGGCGCGAAAGCGUGGGGAGCGAACA
rnacentral:rRNA from 1 species